rnacentral:rRNA from 1 species
CCCUUAGAUGUCCGGGGCCGCACGCGCGCUACACUGAAGGAAUCAGCGUGGCUUUCUCCCUGACCCUAAAGGGUUGGGAAACCCGUUGAAUCUCCUUCGUGAUAGGGAUUGGGGCUUGAAAUUGUUCCCCAUGAACGAGGAAUUCCCAGUAAGCGCGAGUCAUAAGCUCGCGUUGAUUACGUCCCUGCCCUUUGUACACACCGCCCGUCGCUACUACCGAUUGAACGGUUUAGUGAGGGCCUCGGAUUGGUCUCGGCCCGCUCUUUACCGGGCGGCGCCGUUGGUCGAGAAGACGCUCGAACUUGAUCGUUUAGAGGAAGUAAAAGUCGUAACA